UACGUAGGGCGCAAGCGUUGUCCGGAAUUAUUGGGCGUAAAGAGCUCGUAGGCGGUUUGUCGCGUCUGCUGUGAAAACCUAAGGCUCAACCUUGGGCUUGCAGUGGGUACGGGCAGACUAGAGUGCGGUAGGGGUGACUGGAAUUCCUGGUGUAGCGGUGGAAUGCGCAGAUAUCAGGAGGAACACCGAUGGCGAAGGCAGGUCACUGGG
rnacentral:rRNA from 1 species